UGUGAGUGCGGAAAGAUAAUCGCGGCAGCCCUUGUGGCUGAUGAGGAAAGUCCGAGCUCCGCAGGGCAGGAUGCUGGAUAACGUCCAGUGGGGGCGACCCUAAGGAAAGUGCCACAGAAAACAAACCGCCGGCUCGCCGGUAAGGAUGAAACGGUGCGGUAAGAGCGCACCAGCGGUCAAGUGAUUGGCCGGCUUGGUAAACCCCAUCCGGAGCAAGACCAAAUAGGGAAGGGAUGAAGCGGCCCGCUGAGCCUUCCGGGUAGCGUUGCUUGAACCUGCAGGCAACUGCAGGGCUAGAUAAAUGAUUAUCCUAGACAGAACUCGGCUUACUGAGCACUCACAACCU
rfam:Acidaminococcus fermentans DSM 20731, complete genome.